GUUAACUUCCGGGUUAUUUUUGCAUGUUAGUGAGGGUCGUAAAUAAGGAUAAAAAUAUAGUAAUUCAAUGAGAUUCCAUAGAAAUAGAAAGAAUUUUUACGAUUUACAAAAAUGGCGACCUCAACACAGGAUAGUUUCGGAGAAGCUCCGUUGAAGAAACCAAAACAUAAUUUCGAAAGCCCAGGAGAGUUUACUGAAGAUGACGAAGUGAUGUUUACAUUUCCAAAAAAUACUACAACCAACAAUCGGUUGUUCUUCUCCAAAGUUAUUAUAACAAGAUGUUCACCCGUGAUUAAGGCCUACUUUGAACAUGAUUGCAUUGAGCGGAGGAAAAAAGAAGUAGUCAUUGAGGACAUUGAUAUGGCUGAUUUUAUACAAUUCUUAAAAUUUUGUGAUCCAUUGCUAGUAGAGCUUCCAACAGACCAAAACGUGAUCCAGAUGGUAGAAAUCGCAGAAAAGUACCAAAAUGAGUCCAUGAUUAAACAUUGCAGAAAAAUAUUAAGUGACAGUGUUUUGAAGAAAGAAAUUCAAGAGGCAAUACGUGUGUCUUCUUAUAGUUGCACUUCACAGUAUGCAGAAAAAAUACUCGCAGUAUUAUUACUGGCGGUCAAGUUUGAUUAUGAAGAGCUAUUGCAAGAAGGGGCGGAUUAUUUGAUGUGUUUUGAUGUUCGCCAACUGCUCAACAAGGAGAGUUUUGAACAGCUGCCUUUGGACUUGAAAUAUCGUAUUCUGUCACAACGUGUAAUUAAAGUGUAUAAAGACCCUGGCUUCAAAUUGAUUACAAACAUAUAUAAUAAGUAUACAUGUACACACCCUGUCAGAUUUGUCAGAGAUUUACCGAUAUCGGUCUCUCGAUGAACAAACGACACUUGUAAGUGUUCUAUGUUAUCUGAGCAUGUAAUUUGGCUUAAUGAGAUAAUAUGUGUUUAAUAGUAGGCAAUAAUAUUUUCGUAAAAUUUUGAAUUUAUAACAGAGCUAAUUCCAAAAUUGCGGCCGCGAGGAAUCUCUGAGCAAGGACUGUUCGCUAGUUUUUGCUGUUGUGGUAAAAAUAGGUUUUAACUAAAUAUUACUGCAUAAUAUUUCACAAUUUUCCAUAAAAAAUACUAUUUUCUUAUUUGAAACAUUAUUUUUCUGAUAAAAUAAAUAAAUGCAUACAUACAAGUUAGGUAACUCAUCCCUUGACAUUUUAUUUGCAUGUAUAUAAUUUUCUUGCCAAUAUUUCAUUUCAAAGACAUUUUCAUAUGGUUUUACCAUAUUUUGGUGCCUUUUCCCAUAUUUAAUAUAUUUUUUUAUAUAAGACCCUAAGUUUUACAUUUGUGAGAAAUAUUUACAUAAAUUAGUGUAUUUGAACCAGUAUUUUCUUUCCUUUAGUUGAUAAGGAAUCAGUCUGUAUUAAGAUCAGCAGUGACCCAUUCCAACUAGAGCUGUGAUAAGAAUGGUUUAAUUCCUAUAAUUAGGGGCCAUUGAUUGGAAUAAUUUCUGUUUAUUAAUCUCUAUUUUAGAAUUAGUGCUUGUGUUUGAUUUCAGUGAUGAUUUUGUGAUCAUUAGAAUGUUUGUUACACAUAAUGAGACUUUAGUCAAAGUCAAAGUUUUAUUAACAAAUUUAAUUAGAACAUUGCCAGUACACAAAGAACAUACGAGAUGGCAUUAAUGACAACAAAAAAGAGUGAACUAUAUAUAUGAAAUAAAUAUGAGAUCAUUUUUACAACAUUUAAUCUUGAGGAGAAAAGUAUGAACAAUAACUAUAAAUGAAAUGUAUUUAGACAUGUUAAUUAUGCUAAGCAGCAUUUCUUCUAUCCGUAGCGAAUGAUUAAUAAGUAGCAAUAUAAUUCAAUAUUUUAUCAUUAUUACAGGACAUCACGUUAUUAAAUUUGGUCAUAUUAGGCCAGUGAAUAUAAUACAUGGGUAUAUAUAUUGUACGUAAAUCCAAAUAAUGAGGACACACUAACAAAAAGUGGUAUUCAUUUUCUACAACAUUCAUAUUACAUUUAUUUCAUUUUCUAUCUUUUCGGUUUACAUUUCUAUAUCUUCCUUCUUCAAUAUUAAGGUUGUGUGCUGUUAAUAUAACUUUGUGAUUAUAAAUACAAAGGGACCAAGUUUCCCAUUGAAUGAUUCCAUUGGGGCCUUUGUUUACAUUCUUGUGUCAAGGUCAGACAGAUAUUUGAAUUAUUAUUAUGUAAAUAUUGUGAUUAAUUACCCUGGAACAUUAUUAUUCAAGUACUAGAACUUUGCAAAUACUUAAAGACUUUAUUGAUUGAGUGAAAUUGGACUAUAUAUUUGACUGGAAAUAUUAAGUUACCUAUCGGGUAAAAUGAUAUAUUCACUGCUUGACUUUUUGAUCAUUUUCUGAAGUUAAUAGUUUAUUGUUUCUCUUAUUGAAGUCUCUUUGAGUAUAAGUUCUACUAUAUAAAUCCUUAAUGAAUAUUUCAUGAUGUAUAUAAUUUAGUGACUAUUUCAUGUAUAUUAUUAUUGUGAUUAGGGGCAAACAUUUUUAGCCAAUGAAGUGUGAGCAUCUACUUAACCCCUGAUCAUUUCCUAGUAUAUAAUGCUCUGCAUCUCUACUAGCAGCACUCUGCUCCAGAAAUUCUUGUUGACAAUAUCUUAAGAUAAGCUCAGAAGACUCCCACCAACAUUUACCUCAGAGGUGUGCAGCAAUACUUUGUCAUUUUUGAUAACAACUUGAAGAUGCUAGAUUUAUUUCUACCUUAAAAUAUUUAUAUCUUACAAAUUGUCUAGCUGAUUUAUCAGCACUAUUGAGUGUCUAUGAAAGAUUAACCAGGUAGUCCUGUUGACCCUCUAGGUUGAUGGUGGUCAAUUGAUGACAAUAGCCUCAGUUCAAUUUCAACACUGGUAUUCACCAUUUCAAUUCAUUUAGGGUCUAAAACAGCACUAACAUGUGGCACUUUGAACUUGCCCUGCCUAAUCUUGUGUUUAAUUUGUUCAUUUUGACUGCCAUUCUGAUUUCAUUUGCAAUUAUUAGUAUUCAGUCAUACAUUCUUCAGACUUGGCUUGCCCUUAAUAAUUUUGUUCUUCACCGUAAUAUCACACCCCCUUUUUGGGGUUAGUUUUGUUGAUCUGUAUUGAGCAACUACAUUUUUCUAUACAUUUUUCUGUAAACCUUUAUAUUUCUGAAAGUUUGCUAAAAUAAAGUGACUAUUAU